UACGUAGGGACCAAGCGUUGUUCGGAUUUACCGGGCGUAAAGGGCGCGUAGGCGGCAAAUUAAGUCAUCUGUGAAAUCUCCGAGCUUAACUCGGAACGGUCAGGUGAUACUGAUCUGCUAGAGUGCGGAAGGGGCAAUCGGAAUUCUUGGUGUAGCGGUGAAAUGCGUAGAUAUCAAGAGGAACACCUGAGGUGAAGACGGGUUGCUGGGCCGACACUGACGCUGACAGCGCGAAAGCCAGGGGAGCAAACGGG
rnacentral:rRNA from 1 species